GAUGAACGCUAGCGGCAGGCCUAAUACAUGCAAGUCGGACGGGAUCGGGGAGCUUGCUCCCCGUGAGAGUGGCGCACGGGUGCGUAACACGUAUGUAACCUACCUUUAUCAGGGGGAUAGCCUCUCGAAAGAGAGAUUAACACCGCAUAACAUCACAUGAUAGCAUUAUCGAGUGAUCAAAUAUUCAUAGGAUAAAGAUGGGCAUGCGGGACAUUAGCUAGUUGGCGGGGUAACGGCCCAACAAGGCGACGAUGUCUAGGGGAUCUGAGAGGAUGACCCCCCACACUGGUACUGAGACACGGACCAGACUCCUACGGGAGGCAGCAGUAAGGAAUAUUGGUCAAUGGACGCAAUUCUGAACCAGCCAUGCCGCGUGCAGGAGGACGGCCCUACGGGUUGUAAACUGCUUUUGUACCGGAAUAAACCCUUUUACGUGUAAGAGGCUGAAUGUACGGUAAGAAUAAGGAUCGGCUAACUCCGUGCCAGCCGCCGCCGUAA
rnacentral:rRNA from 1 species